UGAGGAAUAUUGGUCAAUGGGCGGAAGCCUGAACCAGCCAAGUCGCGUGAGGGAAUAAGGCCCUACGGGUCGUAAACCUCUUUUGCCGGGGAGCAAGGGCCGGGACGCGUCCCGGCCCGGAGAGUACCCGGAGAAAAAGCAUCGGCUAACUCCGUGCCAGCAGCCGCGGUAAUACGGAGGAUGCGAGCGUUAUCCGGAUUUAUUGGGUUUAAAGGGUGCGUAGGCGGGCUUUUAAGUCAGCGGUAAAAAUUCGGGGCUCAACCCCGUCCGGCCGUUGAAACUGGGGGUCUUGAGUGGGCGAGA
rnacentral:rRNA from 1 species